GGAAACAUGGUGGUUGGUCUAGAG
rnacentral:siRNA from 1 species